rnacentral:rRNA from 1 species
UACGUAGGUGGCGAGCGUUAUCCGGAAUUACUGGGUGUAAAGGGUGUGUAGGCGGGGUUUCAAGUCAGGCGUGAAAUGCAACGGCUCAACCAUUGAAUUGCGCUUGAAACUGAAACUCUUGAGAGUGGGAGAGGUAAACGGAAUUCCUGGUGUAGUAGUGAAAUGCGUAGAUAUCAGGAGGAACACCGGUGGCGAAGGCGGUUUACUGGACCACAACUGACGCUGAGACACGAAAGCGUGGGGAGCAAACAGG